rnacentral:sRNA from 1 species
AUGGUUGGUGGCGCACUUCCUGAAUUUACGGGCAGUGUCAGACGUUUGCGUCGCGCAUACAGAUACCAGGCCCGCCACAGAGCGGGCUUUUUAUU